rnacentral:rRNA from 1 species
CAGUAGCCGCGGUAAUACGUAGGUCCCGAGCGUUGUCCGGAUUUAUUGGGCGUAAAGCGAACGCAGGCGGUUAGAUAAGUCUGAAGUCAAAGGCUGUGGCUUAACCAUAGUACGCUUUGGAAACUGUUUAACUUGAGUGCAAGAGGGGAGAGUGGAAUUCCAUGUGUAGCGGUGAAAUGCGUAGAUAUAUGGAGGAACACCGGUGGCGAAAGCGGCUCUCUGGCUUGUAACUGACGCUGAGGCUCGAAAGCGUGGGGCGCAAACAGGAUUAGAUACCCCUGUAGUCUCUGUCUCUUAUACA